rnacentral:ncRNA from 1 species
UAGAGGUGCUAUUUACUAGCUUAAUAGGGAAACAGAUGCAAUUGCUGUACGGUCCCGCCGCUGUGAUGAGGAGAAACGAUGAUAAACCACUUUCUUAAAAAAGAAGGGAAGGGCAUCGUUUUGAUGAUUCUAAGUCAGAAGACCUGCCUUUUAAUAA